rnacentral:rRNA from 1 species
AGUCGAGCGAAUCGACGGGAGCUUGCUCCCUGAGAUUAGCGGCGGACGGGUGAGUAACACGUGGGCAACCUGCCUAUAAGACUGGGAUAACUUCGGGAAACCGGAGCUAAUACCGGAUNNNNNCUUUUCNNNCAUGAGAGAAGAUGGAAAGACGGUUUNNNCUGUCACUUNNNGAUGGGCCCGCGGCGCAUUAGCUAGUUGGUGAGGUAAUGGCUCACCAAGGCGNCGAUGCGUAGCCGACCUGAGAGGGUGAUCGGCCACACUGGGACUGAGACACGGCCCAGACUCCUACGGGAGGCAGCAGUAGGGAAUCUUCCGCAAUGGACGAAAGUCUGACGGAGCAACGCCGCG